UACGGAGGGUGCAAGCGUUAUCCGGAUUCACUGGGUUUAAAGGGUGCGUAGGUGGGUCUGUAAGUCAGUGGUGAAAUCUUCGAGCUUAACUGGAAACUGCCAUUGAUACUAUAGAUCUUGAAUUUUCUGGAGGUAAGCGGAAUAUGUCAUGUAGCGGUGAAAUGCUUAGAUAUGACAUAGAACACCAAUUGCGAAGGCAGCUUACUACGGGAACAUUGACACUGAGGCACGAAAGCGUGGGGAUCAAACAGG
rnacentral:rRNA from 1 species